UACAGAGGGGGGCAAGCGUUGUUCGGAAUUACUGGGCGUAAAGGGCGCGUAGGCGGCCGCCUAAGUCAGACGUGAAAUCCCUCGGCUCAACCGGGGAACUGCGUCUGAUACUGGGUGGCUUGAAUCCGGGAGAGGGAUGUGGAAUUCAUGGUGUAGCAGUGAAAUGCGUAGAGAUCAUGAGGAAGACCAGUGGCGAAGGCGGGUCUCUGGACAGUUCCUGACACUGAGACACGAAGGCCAGGGGAGCAAACGGG
rnacentral:rRNA from 1 species